rnacentral:rRNA from 1 species
CCAGACUCCUACGGGAGGCAGCAGUGAGGAAUAUUGGUCAAUGGCCGAGAGGCUGAACCAGCCAAGUCGCGUGAGGGAAGACGGCCCUACGGGUUGUAAACCUCUUUUGUCGGGGAGCAAAGAGAGUCACGUGUGACUCAUUGAGAGUACCCGAAGAAAAAGCAUCGGCUAACUCCGUGCCAGCAGCCGCGGUAAUACGGAGGAUGCGAGCGUUAUCCGGAUUUAUUGGGUUUAAAGGGUGCGCAGGCGGAAUGUCAAGUCAGCGGUAAAAUGUCGGGGCUCAACCCCGUCGUGCCGUUGAAACUGGCGUUCUUGAGUGAGCGAGGAGUAUGCGGAAUGCGUGGUGUAGCGGUGAAAUGCAUAGAUAUCACGCAGAACUCCGAUUGCGAAGGCAGCAUACCGGCGCGCAACUGACGCUCAUGCACGAAAGCGUGGGUAUCGAACAGGAUUAGAUACCCGGGUA